CACGUAUGGCGCAAGCGUUGUCCGGAAUUAUUGGGCGUAAAGAGCUCGUAGGCGGUCUGUUGCGUCCGCUGUGAAAACUCGGGGCUUAACCCCGAGCCUGCAGUGGAUACGGGCAGACUAGAGGUAGGUAGGGGAGAAUGGAAUUCCAGGUGUAGCGGUGAAAUGCGUAGAUAUCUGGAGGAACACCGGUGGCGAAGGCGGCAUCCUGGACCGACACUGACGCUGAGGAGCGAAAGCCAGGGGAGCAAACGGG
rnacentral:rRNA from 1 species